UCAAAAGUUAUUUAUAACUGUCUUGCC
rnacentral:piRNA from 1 species